AAUCCCAUUUUAGUACCGUUUUUUCUCUAUCUCCAGAAUUAAUGGCUAUGCUAAUGGGAUACAGUAAUAUUUGCUAUUUUCUAAAGGGUCUGAUGUUUUGUUUCAUCUUCUCCUAUAUGAACUAGCAGGACAUACUUGA